rnacentral:rRNA from 1 species
ACCAGCAGCCAUAUCACCCUGCAACUCACGCCUGGCAGCCCACUGAAGCUCAGCAGGUGUGAGCCUGGUCAGUACCUGGAUGGGAGACCUCCUGGGAAAAACCGACACCCUGCGGUCC